rnacentral:tRNA from 1 species
GGGCCCAUUCGUCUAGUGGCCUAGGACACUGCCCUCUCACGGCGGCGGCACGGGUUCGAAUCCCGUAUGGGCCUU